GACGAACGCUGGCGGCGUGCUUAACACAUGCAAGUCGAGCGGAGCGGCGAACGGGUGUGUAACGCGUGAGUAAAUGCCCCCCUCCUUGGGAAAAAAGCUGGAAAAGGCUGGUAAUAUCGGAUAGUUGGGGAUGACUCGCGCCCUAUCGGCUUGUUGGUGGGGUAGUGGCCUACCAAGGCGACGACGGGUAGCCGGCCUGAGAGGGCGACCGGCCACCAUGGGCUGAUGUACGGCGCAGGCACCUACAGGAGGCAGCAGGGAGGAGUGAGGCACAAUAGGGGUAACUGAAGUGAACGGAGAUGCGGGUGGCAUGUCAUUCUCCUUGUUGUAGACAGCUUUGAGCAAUGACGUGGUAGGGGCAGAAGAAACAACGGCUAGCAACGUACCAGCAGCCGCGGUAAUAC
rnacentral:rRNA from 1 species